GCGCUCGUCGUCGGAUCCACCGGCAUCGUCGGCACCUCCCUCCUCGACAUCCUCCCGCUGCAGGACACCCCCGGCGGCCCCUGGAAGGUCUACGCGCUCUCCCGCCGCCCGCUCCCGCCCUGGUCCCCGCCAUCCUCCCCCGCCGUCACGAAUCUGCACCUCGACCUCGCCGACUCCGCCGCCGUCGCCGACGCCCUCGAGCCCCUCAAGGACAUCACCCACGUCUUCUACGCCGCCUGGUCCAGCCACCCCACGGAGGACGAGAACCGGCGGGCCAACUCCGCCAUGCUCCGCAACGUCCUCUCCGUCGUCGUCCCCAACUGUCCCGCGCUCGUCCACGUCUGCCUCCAGACCGGCUGCUGUCCUGCUCGUCUUCUAGCUUGCCCAUCGCACACAGCAGGGCAUAGGAGGAGGACGACCAGGAGGUGGCAGAGAUGGAGCUCCUCCCUAUUCCCCUUUGCUACAGACCAAAGGUGAUGACAUGCCCUCGCUCGCUGAUCUCGAGCUUCAGCCACCGUCUGGUAGAUGUCCUGCGCAAGCCCGCUAUGCCGCCUCCAGCACUAGGAGAUGAGGCGGCUCGGAGGUCCGGCCUCCUCAUAUCCCUCUUCACCAUCCACACACUCAUGGCGGCGUACAUUGCCCACCAGAAGGACUGCAGGCUCGUCGACUUUGUGUGUGGCAUCAUCCUCGUCAAACACAAUGCCCACAACCUGCUACUGUCGCCGAGUUAUCACCGACAAUAACUUCGUCUUCUCUGUGAGUGAUAUGGUUACGUAGAAGAAUGUUGAGCUCACCAGGAUGCAAGAUGGGAUGCAAGAUAUGGAGGUGGCCGGCAUCUACAGGUUUUAUAUAUUGUGACAUUGAACAAUGGAAAUGGAAAUUUGGUUUUGUGAGGAUCUGGUUGGAGCCUUUGCCGUCAAGUUUAUAAGCGGGUACCAUAUCUUCAGUUAACUUAUUUGUUCAAAGGAGUGAGAGGGCACUUACUGCAGAAUCUAUAGAUUAUGUUGUCAGGCGCAGAAUGUUGAUGGAGGCAUGUAAAUCGGGGAAGAAGACCAGACACGAGCGUCCUCCUCAAGGGCAACUCUGAUGCCUGCAGGGCCAAAUAUUUUUAGUAGACAUGAUGCUGGCACGGGGAAGGAGGCCUGCAGUUUAUGAUCCUGUAGUUUUUAUAUUUCUGCUCCACUGAUUUCAUAUGUAAAACUGUAAGAUUUAACCCUACGCGAUCAAUGGUGACACUUUCAGGGGAACCGACUGUCAGUUCAGAAUCAACGACAGUUACAACAUUCAGUUGGUGGCCUA